UACAGAGGGUGCAAGCGUUGUUCGGAAUUAUUGGGCGUAAAGCGCGUGUAGGCGGCUUUGUGUGUCGGGUGUGAAAGCCCUCGGCUUAACCGAGGAAGUGCGCCCGAAACUGCAGAGCUUGAGUGCCGGAGAGGAUAGCGGAACACCCGGUGUAGCGGUGAAAUGCGUAGAUAUCGGGAGGAACACCUGUGGCGAAAGCGGCUCACUGGACCGCAACUGACGCUGAGGCGCGAAAGCUAGGGGAGCAAACAGG
rnacentral:rRNA from 1 species